AUGUUAUAUUAAUAAAAUAAAAAAUACCCAGUCUUUAUACAGGGACCAGAAUAUAAUUGUUGUUGACUCAAUAUUUUUAAUGAUUAUUCACAAUACAUUUUUUUUUAGUAGAACGAACAUUCUUAAAUGAAUGCUUAAAUAUGGUAGGCAUAAUUUCUACUAUAUUGGAACAGAUCGUAAGUAGUGUGCUUUGUUAUGUUCUAGAAUUCUGUAAAAUAUUAACAUCAUUAUUUCCUCUUGUGUUUUAUUAUAAUCAUGUUAAAGUGAAAUCUCUAUUUAUCAAUGUCUUACAAUUAUUACUGAAUAUUUUCUAACAGAUUUUUUUUUUUUUUAAAAUCUUGGUGAAAUGUGAUUUUGUAACAUCUUACUACUUUGAAUAGUGAAUUCCAUAAAAUAAUACAGUUUUUUUUUAUCACCAUCGUUGUGACUUAUAGAGGUUUCACUAUCAAUAGUUGAUUAGUUAUAGAUUGUGGGUACAAGAUAUUAAAUUAGGCAUUUAAUGCAGACCAACAUAUUGAGACUCCUAUCAACAGCAUAGGACUUAGGUCCCCCGGUUCCAAGAUAGUAAGUGUCUUAGGCAAAUGCUCAACUAAACAGUUUACAACAUUUCAAGAAACUUGAUAUAUAAUUUACACAGUUUUCGGAUUAAACUGAUAUGAUUGAAAAGAUGACAACUUCUGGUAUUAUUAUGCAAAGUGAAUACAUGUUGAUUUGCAAAAGUACUUAAUAGUUAGUUCAAAAUGUAUGUCAGACCCCAAUAUGAAUCCAAUCAUUUUACUUUGAAACAAUUGACAAGUUUAUAUUCACACGAGACGGAAGUAACAUAUUUGUGCUCUGCUACCUAUUAACAAAAGUAAUUAAUAUUUCAAGAUAAAAUAUUUUCGGUUCAACAAAUUAAUGAAUUAAAGUACGGAAAAACAUGCAUGGAAUAUUGAAAAAAUAUGAAUAUGAUUUAGAACACUGCAAUUUUAACUCCUGCCUACCACUAAAGAAUACAAUAAGGGUACAACUAUAACACAUGGCAAGUGCACAAUAACUAAUAAGCAUUUUUCAAGUUUUACAUGGCAUCAAGGAGCACCUAUGUUGGGGAAUUCCGAAUGCUGAUUACCGUAAACUGAUGAUUGAUGAGUGAUACAUUGAUAAUGUUCUUGUCUAUGAGCACUGCACAUCGAAGGUGAUAUAUUGCCAUCAAUUAUCAAGAUUCAAGAUCAAAGUACAAAUGGUUUACCUACCUAUAACACAAAAGAUUUUCUGUAAUAAUUUAUUCUGUAUUUUUAAUAGC